rnacentral:rRNA from 1 species
CCUAAAGCAGGGNAUAAACUCCACCUAAAGCUAAAUAANGCAGCGAGACNGAUAGCAGUCAAAUACAGUGAGGRAAAGUUGCUAAGAANUUUGAAGAGCGAGUUCCCUAGGACGCGAAACCAUCCCAAGGUAAACAGGUGGAANCUCGAAGUUAGCCGGGGCGAGGAUUCAACUGUUCUGGAGUGAGCCAGGAGUCCUCAUUAUAUUCGCUUNUGCCCGGCGGGCNGAGGUNRAUGACAGCGAAUGUCUUUGUCCACCUGUCCACAAGUUCAAUNUCGCGAUAAAGNCAUUAUCGAUUAGCGGACCAGGGCGUGNGUAUGCGAGGUCCACAGUAAAACGGCACGCGACAAACCCCCGGUUGCCCGGCCGGCUGCUCGGCGGUACGCGCAAGGUAUCAGGCCGCACUGUUUACGGUGCGUCGAGGCCGUCGCAAGCGCGCGCCACGGUACUCGGAGGUUACGGACUUUGCGCCGUCCCCGGUCCUGGCUCGCUGUUGGUUAAAGUACGGCUCACCUUCGACAGGCCUGUCGAACGUCCCUCUCCCUCCCUUGUGGGUGGCGAGGGGGNUCUAUAC